UGGUCAUUACCAAGGCUGCUGGGAUGUUACUGUUUCUGGUGAGCUGUGGACAUGACCAUAAAGCAAAUCCACCAGACUCUCCUGUGUCGCCACACAUUUGUGUGGUACCAAGUCUGCUGGGAAUAAAG
rnacentral:snoRNA from 1 species